UUGGCCAAAGGUCGGUACCCGGAUGCUGCCGGUAGAACAUCAGAAUUAUAGUGAAAGCCCAAUUGUUUACUUUGUUACUUUUCCCAGUAGAUCCUACUGGCCUGGACUUUUUUAUUCAAUUUUCUUUACAAAUGUAGAGAAUAGGCUCUAAAUUUACAAACGGAAUACCAAGGAUUAACCUGAGUUUACAAGUUGGGUACUUCAUACCAGACAACAUAGUAACUUUUCAAAAACUGGCUUAAUUAGAAAAAUGCAAAGUGUUCAGUCGUAUCACUACACUACACUACACUACACUGCAUGUUCGGUUGAAUUGUUAUCCUUGUGUAGCAGGUAACGCCUAGUGAAAUUGUGUAGUAUGCUGCUCGGAGCGCAAACCACGUGACAUUUGUUGCGCGAGUGAACUCGUGUUCAUUCAGUGGGCAGUAGUUGGAGGACAAAGAACGAAGACGAAGAUUAGUAGGAGGAAGGAUGAGAGUGCCUCUAUUCCGAUGGCUGUGAGCUUGAAAUCACCUGGACAUCUUUUAUGAGUCAAUUAACCGCAUGUACACCUCCAGUUAAAACUGUUUAGUAUAUAAUGGGUCAUCUACACUAAGAAACCUUGCAAGCUCGCAAAAGUCUGCCACCACUUCAGCUGACUUGGUGAUGAUGGUGAAAAUUGCAGUUCCUGAAAAUCCCCAUGUUGAUGACCUAGCAGUAAGAGUAUCUCAGCAGAAAAUGUACAUUCCUUAAUAUGUAUCUUCAUUCUCUAAGCUAGUGAGACAAUGAUUGGUUAUCUCCAUCCAGAAAUGAAAGAACUACAGUAACUGUGGAAGUUUUUAGGGAAGCAUGUACAGACCAAGGUUAUCUCAUUUGCCAGAACCAUCACUCAAGUCCCUUUUGAAGGAAAACUAACGUCCAGACAGGGACCUGGCUCUGCGUAUAGGUACUCGUACAUUUCUUCAUGACAAUCCUGACAUUCCAGAAGAGACCAUUAGAAAGUUUUUCAGUUGUGGCUCUUGCAAGAAGGUUUACUCAUGAUGUCCCUUGUGACCCGCUGGUAGAGAAGUACUCAGAUUACAAAAUCAGCCCAGAACCUGAUCUGCCAAAAUUCAGCAAUAGGGUUUACACCAUUGGAUACAUUCAGGCUCAAUAUGGAAGACAUCAGACUUAUAGAUGGGAACAAGAGAUUCAAGAAGCUUCAAGCCAUUGCCUUAGUCAUACUGUCUUUACCACUAAGCAGUGCCGAUUUAAAGAAAUGCUUCUCAACAGUGUUAGAUACAAUAAAUCGUUUCUAGUACGACGUAUCACUAAACAACACCGCAUGUACGGUUGAAUUGUUAGCAGAUGACGGCUAGUGAAAGUGUAGUAUGUGGACCAAAGUGCCAAUCAUGUGGCAUUUGUUGCGAGUGAACUCUUAUCCGUUCAGUUCAGUAGGCUGUAGUCAGAAGACAAAGAACGAUCACAAGUCUCGGAAGGAAGGCUUAACAGCCAGAGACUUUCGAUAUUCCCAGGGAAAUGUGAAAUGGAGCCAGUCCUUGUGUAGAAUUCCAGAGACAUUGUUCCCAUAGAAAGGUGAAAUAUGGUUCCAUGCAUUUUGUAUGUCUCCUGCAAUUCUUCUUUAAUAUCUUCAUUGUGUCCUCUCCUUAGACCAGUUUCCCAGGGAAGUUAAUGAUAAAGAAAUUAAUGUCAACUUGGCAUGAACACAGAAUGAAUUGAUCAAAUAAAGUCUCUCGACACGUUCUGCCAACCAUGGAAGAGCUGAGAAUAAUGUUGGGAUUUGCCAGCACUUGCACCAUCAGUGUUGAGUUUUCCACAAAUCAACUGUACUCGGAGCGUUGCUCUUCUCUGGUGAGAUAUAAUCAGAGAGAAGACAGAAAUUACUUAUCAAUAAACCAUUUUUUGUCAGUUAGUCAUAAUUGGUCAGAUACUGAAUGUUACCAUGGAUCUGCUGGAAGCUUGAAAGAUACAGAUAUAAAACAUGUUGAGCACCACAUUAGAGAAUGCUCAAGUGUGACAGUGAAAUAGACAUUAAAAACAUUGAAAUUAAGUGCCUAAUUAUGUGAUGGUUGAAGGCAGACUUUAAAACUUACUGAAUAUGAUUAAGGAUAUUCAAAUGUGAUGGUGAAAUACACAAACUUUAUCUAAUAGGCUUCAACUGUUUAAAUGACCUGCACGGAUGAGACAUAUUUUGUCUCACACUGGUAAAUAUUCUAGUAAUUGACAUCUAGUAAUUGUCGUCUGCUGCUACAAUAUUGAUUGGACUGUACAGAAAGUUAUGAAGCCUCGUUUUGUAAAUCUUUGCCUAGAUAAAGAUUGCUGCUGUCAGUGAAAUAAUUAUAAUGUAUUUUUAGAUGGUAGUAUGAAAAAAACAACAAAAAAACUACAACUGUUUGGCAGCAUUCCUUCUCUCACAGCACAUGUGUCAAAUUCUCUCAAUGUAUAAUAUGUAGGGUUUAUGUAUAUAUUAUGCUAAUAACUUUGUUAAUUAGUGGACAAGACACAAGUUAUAUCAUUAUAUUAAAUGUAAUAUCUA
rnacentral:lncRNA from 1 species